rnacentral:lncRNA from 1 species
UAGCAAGAUUCCCUUUCUUGGUGUUCAUGGUACACAUUUUACCUCUGCCGGGUUUGUGUUCAGUGACACAGCAGUUAGUAGCCUGUCCAGCCACAAGCUGAUUCCUGGGAGCUGAGUGCAGGGAGCCAAGAGGAGACCAGACAUGUUGAAAGCUGUUGCUUUCUUCUUUCCAGGGUUGGAGAUCUAAUUCAAUGCAGAUUUCAAAGUGAAGUGUAUGCUCCAACCACUGAUGCCAUUGUUGCUGCUAAAAGUAGGAAAUCACCAGUGCUGGAGAUUCUCCUUACAAAACAGUGAACUGUAA